rnacentral:rRNA from 1 species
UACAGAGGUCCCGAGCGUUGUUCGGAUUCAUUGGGCGUAAAGGGUGCGUAGGUGGCGCCGUAAGUGGGGUGUGAAAUCCCGGGGCUCAACCUGGGCACUGCAGUUGGAACUGGCAAGCUAGAGUAGGGUAGAGGGGUGUGGAAUUCCAGGUGUAGCGGUGAAAUGCGUAGAUAUCUGGAGGAACAUCAGUGGCGAAGGCGACACCCUGGACUCAUACUGACACUGAGGUGCGAAAGCGUGGGGAGCAAACAGG